UGCCUUUGUGUUACCCAUUAACUUUGGGAACUAGUGGGUGUGGUGUCAAGGUGUGAAUUAAACACUUUGCAGCCUUUUCCUGCCCUUAAAUUUGAUAUUUUUGGUGUAGGGGCUGCAUAAGUAACAGUU